rnacentral:rRNA from 1 species
GCCGGAGGAUGCAAGUGUUAUCCGGAAUCACUGGGCGUAAAGCGUCUGUAGGUGGUCAAAUAAGUCAACUGUUAAAUCUUGAGGCUCAACCUCAAAAUCGCAGUCGAAACUAUUAGACUAGAGUAUAGUAGGGGUAAAGGGAAUUUCCAGUGGAGCGGUGAAAUGCGUAGAGAUUGGAAAGAACACCGAUGGCGAAGGCACUUUACUGGGCUAUUACUAACACUCAGAGACGAAAGCUAGGGUAGCAAAUGGG